rnacentral:misc_RNA from 1 species
GAUGAAGAACGCAGCGAAAUGCGAUAAUUAAUGUGAAUUGCAGAAUUCAGUGAAUCAUCGAGUCUUUGAACGCACAUUGCGCCCCCUGGUAUUCCGGAGGGCAUGUCUGUCCGAGCGUCAUUAGUCCAAUCUCAAGCCCGGCUUGUCGUUGGGUCGCACCGCCCGGGGCGGUGGACCCGAAAUAUAAUGACGGGGUCUAGCGGACCGUGGGCGCAGCGAGCUUUUACAGCACGCGUCCCGGCGUCAUCUAGACGCGUCUCCAACCAUACUCUCUGUAGGUUGACCUCGGAUCAGACAGGAUUACCCGCUGAACUUAAGCAUAUCAAUAAGCGGAGGA